rnacentral:rRNA from 1 species
AAUCAACGCUGGCGGCGUGCCUCAGACAUGCAAGUCGAACGCGAAAGGCCCCUUCGGGGGCCGAGUAGAGUGGCGUCCGGGUGAGUAACACGUGGGUAAUCUACCUUCGGGUGGGGAAUAACGACCGGAAACGGUCGCUAAUACCGCAUAAUGCAGCGGCACCUAAUGGUGACAGUUGUUAAAGCGGGGGAUCGCAAGACCUCGCGCCUGAAGAGGAGCCCGCGGCGGAUUAGCUAGUUGGCAGGGUAACGGCCUACCAAGGCGACGAUCCGUAGCCGGCCUGAGAGGGCGGUCGGGCCACACUGGCACUGACACACGGGCCAGACUCCUACGGGAGGCAGCAGUCGGGAAUUUUGGGCAAUGGGCGAAAGCCUAACCCAGCAACGCCGCGUGAAGGAUGAAGCUUUUCGGAGUGUAAACUUCAUAAGAAUGGGACGAAUAAGGAGGGUUAACACCCCUUUGAUGACGGUACCAUUUGUAAGCUCCGGCUAACUCCGUGCCAGCAGCCGCCGCAGUAAU